GCAGCAGGUCGGUUUGUCGCCCCGUAAACCGGGGAGGAAAGUCCGGGCAACGCAGAGCACCAUAUUUCCUAACGGGAAGCUGUUCGUGAGGGCAGAUUAGCGUAACAGAAAAUAACCGCCUUGUUUACAAGGUAAGGGUGAAAAGGUGAGGUAAAAGCUCACCGGGUACCAUGGCAACAUGGUAUGCCGUACGCAUUAUGGGUUGCAAGGCCAUGUAUAUCGGAUAAUUAGGGUUGCUCGCCCGAUGCCGAGGGGUAGGCCGCUUAGAUAAAUGACAAACAUCCCUUAUGGGACACAGAACCCGGCUUAUAGACCGGCUGCUUUU
rfam:Fermentimonas caenicola genome assembly, chromosome: chrI